AUAACGAUUAUCCUCAGUUACCAUUACAUAUAUAAGAAGUGAAGUGUAAGAGUUAUUUAAUCCCAUAACAAUGAAACUGUUAUUUAUUUUACCAGUGUUAUUUUUACUAUUAAUCUUAUGUGUCACGACUGGGAAUGGAGGAAGGAAUUGGCGGAUCAAAGCAAUCCACAAGUCCCCGACUUUGCCGGCAACAAGUGUGAUGGCAAUAUAUCGCAGUCUUCCUCCAAAACCGAAAGCCACCAGUUUGUCUACCUAAACCUUGAAGAACGACCUUAUUGCCAUACACUGCACACCGAAUCAGACAUGGAGUCUGAAAGAGUGUCAUAACUGUACAUCCAUGAAACGAACCUGAGAUCUACGGCUGGCUAGCUGCACCCACAAGCACUGGACCAACGAGACUGUCACCUACUAGUAUUACUUAAAACUGUAAUUACUAAACAAGGAUGUAUUUAAUAGUUUUAAUACGUUUUAUCAAGUCGAUUUGUAACUAACUAUGUAAUAAAAUCUAAGAAUAUGAAUUACACAUAUUUCUCAUUUUAAUAACAUUAUGGAACUUGGCAAUUAUAUUGAUGCCUUUUUUUUUGAGGGUUUAAAUCAUCGUAUGACUUCUGUCUGUGGCCGGAGAUCGUCGCGCGAUCUCCGACACCCGGAGUGUCUGUCGCGACGGCUUGGGCGUGAGGUUGUUCGUUCACUCACGCGCCCCGCCUCCUCCUUAGCUAGCAUGACUGCUUUGCAGAAAUUAUAUUGAUGCCUUCUGGCUGAAAGAGAGAGAGUUUUUUUUAUGGAAUAAUCCGGUAAACAAGCAGACGGAUCACGAUGGUAAGCAAUCGUCGCCGCCCAUGGACACUUGAAACACCGGAGGCGUUACAAGUGCGUUGCCGGCCUUUUGGGGGUUAGGAAAAAUAGCUGACUAACGCCCGAAUACUGAAAUGCUACUCAAUUUUAAGUUGUACUUAAAUAUCAUGCUAUCUCUGUCAUUUUAUAAAGAAUUGAUAGAGACAGAACUAGUUUUGAGAGCGUCUUAAAUUGAGCAGCGUUUGAGUAUUUCUGAUCCGUAGCUGUGGACUACCUAGCGGGUUUACCAGGCUCCGGUUCGAAAUGCAGGAGUAGGAACGGAGUGGUUUCUAGUCAGUAAGAGUCUGACACUCCCUCUCGCCUCGCCCAAGGCGAGAGAAGUCAUUGGAUGAUUUCCCCCCUCAAAAGAAAAGCGUUUGAGUAUUCGGACAUAACAGUACCGAAUUGUACUUCUGUCAGUUACCUGUUCACUGACACAUUGCACAUGCACUAAUGAAUAAAUUGUCAAUUAAAAAACAGGAAUUUAUGAAAUGUAGUAGAAUCUUAUUAAUAAUCAAUAAGGGCUUUAUAUUUAAUCUCAAAUUACUUACUGAACUACGCCAUUUAACUUUGAAACAAGGUACGGUCGACACGUAUCUCUUACACCAAGUGUUUAUAUAAAAACUGUAUUUAAAUAUGAAGAUUUUAUACAUAUUAAUAUUGUGUUUCUCAUUGGGAAUGGCUAUCAAGAUUAUUCGGUUCCCAAACCUCGAUGACGAUAAUAACUCAGAAGAAAAGAACAUCUACUCAUCGAAGCGAUUACAGGCACUUUAUUUCAAUCACGUAAAUAGUACGGCGUAUAUAAAAGAAUUAGAGGAUUCUGGAACCUUAUUACAUGUGCGAAAAUAACGAAACACUUUUA